GUCAAAUUGUUAGAAAAAUUAUUUGUCCAUAAUAAACAGAUAGAUAUAUGUACUUGGAACUGGUCCCUCUACUCCAUUCACACACAAAACUUCAAUAAACUUGAUUGGCUUUGGCCUUAUAUUCAUAAUGUAUUUUUCUCCACAUUCAAAUCUCAGACAGUUGAGGCUGAAUAUACUGAUAAGCCCAUCCCUUUAGCCAUAACUCCAGUUUUCA